AGUUACAUUACAGAUAGGUCCUACAGACUCUGAGCAUGCAAGCCCUGAGCAUGUCUGCCUCAUUAUCAGAGUGAGAUCUUCAGAAUGGGAGAGACCCUCUGUAGUGUUCAGCUCAGUACUUCCAGGAGCUGAACAGGAACAAAGGCCCAGUCUUCAGUAUAUUGAGCACCUGUGACGUUGCACGCUACAUGAUUUUAUAAAAUGCACAAAGAAGAAUAACAGCAUCCAUAUGUCUUCUCCAUGAGGAUCCUGUAACAUGCUAAGACACUACCUGUGAAAUACCUCCAGCAUUUGAAAAAUGCUUAGCUACUUGUGGUGGGGCAGUGCCCGACCCCCCUGACGAAAAGAGCUGAACCAGGCCUGAGAGGCUGUGCAGACCAGCAGCCAAUUAGCCAAGGCCGGGGAGAGCCAAUCCGGGCCGGGCUAGGUCCUAUAUAAAGGCUGCCUAGCAGAGGAGAAGGGAGUCUCUCCCUGACUAGCAAGGGAGAAGGACUGACUCCUGAAGCAAGGAGAUAGCACCUUGGAUAGAGCAGUGCUGGGCAGGUUCAGGGGAGCAGAGAAGAGCUCCAGCCCAUUAUCUGCCAGGUUGCAGCCCUGACUAGAAGGGCUGAGAAGGUGCAAGAGGCCAAAGAGGAAGUGGCCCAGGGAACAUAGUCUAACAAGGGGAGAGAAGGAGGGCAGAGAGACUGCUGCUAGAGGGUCUCUGGGUCAGGACCCAGAGUAGCAGAUGGGCCUGGGUCCCCUCCUUUCCCUCCGCCCCUUGUACUUCACCUGCUUGUGGAGGAGUGGCUGAGAUGGACUGCAACCUGCCCCUGAGGUGCGGGGCUAGACUUUGGGGUUGUGGUUGGCCACCGAGGCAGGUGAUAGGCAAAAGACUGUUGUUAACACACACACAGCUCCCCCGGAAGGGGGUGAGACUGGAGUAGUGGGCACUGCCGGAGGGCAGUGUCCUGAAGAGGACGCCGCCGAGCAGGGAGCAACGCGGGUCCCAGGGCAGCAGAGCAGACAACGGACAAGGCACCACAUGUUGAGGGUGCGCCACAGCUGACCCAAGCAAAUUCUUAGAGCAACCAGCGGGAGGCGCCAGUGGUGGGCCGCCUAGAGGCUUCAGGGGGCCUGGGGUCCCCCGCUGCCAAACUGCCGCCGAAGA